rnacentral:sRNA from 1 species
CUGUAAUUGGUUAAAUGACGCGCAGAAACCGACACGUAAUCCCGGGUGCUCCAGUAAAGCUGGGGUUGGCUUACGGGGUCUCUGCAAGUUUGUAAC